rnacentral:rRNA from 1 species
AUUGAACGCUGGCGGCAUGCCUUACACAUGCAAGUCGAACGGUAACAGGUCUUCGGAUGCUGACGAGUGGCGAACGGGUGAGUAAUACAUCGGAACGUGCCUAGUAGUGGGGGAUCACUACUCGAAAGAGCGGCUAAUACCGCAUGCGAUCUACGGAUGAAAGCAGGGGAUCGCAAGACCUUGUGCUACUAGAGCGGCCGAUGGCAGAUUAGGUAGUUGGUGUGAUAAAAGCUUACCAAGCCGACGAUCUGUAGCUGGUCUGAGAGGACGACCAGCCACACUGGGACUGAGACACGGCCCAGACUCCUACGGGAGGCAGCAGUGGGGAAUUUUGGACAAUGGGCGAAAGCCUGAUCCAGCAAUGCCGCGUGCAGGAUGAAGGCCUUCGGGUUGUAAACUGCUUUUGUACGGAACGAAAAGCCCUGGGUUAAUACCCUGGGGUCAUGACGGUACCGUAAGAAUAAGCACCGGCUAACUACGUGCCAGCAGCCGCCGCUG